rnacentral:rRNA from 1 species
UACGAGUGCCCCAAGCGUUAUCCGGAAUUAUUGGGCGUAAAGGGUGUGUAGGUGGUUGUGUUAGUCUCAUGUCAAAUUCUUCGGCUUAACCGGGGUACCGCAUGGGAAACGGCACAACUAGAGGAUGCGAGGGGUCUGUGGAACUCAUGGAGUAGGGGUGAAAUCCGUUGAUAUCAUGGGGAACACCGAAAGCGAAGGCAGCAGGCUGGCGCACUCCUGACACUGAAACACGAAAGCGUGGGUAGCGAAUGGG